AUACGAGGGGUGCAAGCGUUAAUCGGAAUUACUGGGCGUAAAGCGUUCGUAGGCGGUUUGUUAAGCAAGAUGUGAAAGCCCUGGGCUCAACCUGGGAACUGCAUUUUGAACUGGCAAACUAGAAUACUGUAGAGGGUGGUGGAAUUUCCAGUGUAGCGGUGAAAUGCGUAGAGAUUGGAAGGAACAUCAGUGGCGAAGGCGGCCACCUGGACAGAUAGUGACGCUGAGGAACGAAAGCGUGGGGAGCGAACAGGAUUAGAAACCCCAGUAGUCC
rnacentral:rRNA from 1 species